CACGUUUGUGUAUAAAAUGAUCUGGGACGGAAUUCUGGAGAAUGCGAGAGGGGAGAAGCUGGACCUGUUCCACAGCGUGCACGGCUGGCUGAUGGUGCUGUAUGAGAGAGACUGUCGCAGGAGGUUCACACCUGAUGAACACUGGCUGCGCAGGGACCUGAAGCCCAGUACGCUGUUCCAGGAGCUGGAUAAAGGCAGGAAGAGAGCUCAGCUGCUGCUGCAGUACAUCCCUC